AGCAGCCGCGGUAAUUCCAGCUCCAAUAGCGUAUAUUAAAGUUGUUGCAGUUAAAAAGCUCGUAGUUGAAUUUCGAGAUCAAUUUGUUGGUCGUGCCUCGAUACGUACUGGCAAUUUUGGUUCUCCCUUCUGAAGAACCAUGAUGUCAUUAAUUUGGUGUCAUGGGGAAUCAGGACUGUUACUUUGAAAAAAUUAGAGUGUUUAAAGCAGGCUCGCGCUUGAAUACAUUAGCAUGGAAUAAUGAAAUAGGACGUUUGAUUCUAUUUUGUUGGUUUCUAGGAUCGACGUAAUGAUUAAUAGGGAUAGUUGGGGGCAUUAGUAUUCAAUUGUCAGAGGUGAAAUUCUUGGAUUUAUUGAAGACUAACUACUGCGAAAGCAUUUGCCAAGGAUGUUUUCAUUAAUCAAGAACGAAAGUUAGGGGAUCGAAGACGAUCAGAUACCGUCGUAGUCUUAACCAUAAACUAUGCCGACUAGGGAUCGGAUGAUGUUAAUUUUUAAUGA
rnacentral:rRNA from 1 species